CGUCCUCUGCCGUGUUCGACAGCGUGCUCAACAUUAGCCCUUGACCCAUAAACACGACCCGGGAGCCGCUCGAACCGUCGGUGUGCAUGUCCGCCUGAGUUGCGGAAAGCCUAAAGAUGGCAAGGCGACACCCACUUGAUCCUAGGGAUCAAGGUCGUUGGCAGGCAUCGGCAUGGUGGAGGACUC
rnacentral:other from 1 species